CCUACGGGAGGCAGCAGUGGGGGAUAUUGCACAAUGGGGGGAACCCUGAUGCAGCGACGCCGCGUGGGCGAUGGAGUGUUUCGGCAUGUAAAGCUCUAUCAGCAGGGAAGAAAAUGACGGUACCUGACUAAGAAGCCCCGGCUAACUACGUGCCAGCAGCCGCGGUAAUACGUAUGGGGCAAGCGUUAUCCGGAUUUACUGGGUGUAAAGGGAGCGUAGGCGGCCGGGCAAGCCAGAUGUGAAAACCCGGGGCCCAACUCCGGGACUGCAUUUGAAACUGCCAGGCUGGAGUGCCGGAG
rnacentral:rRNA from 1 species